AUUGAACGCUGGCGGCAGGCCUAACACAUGCAAGUCGAGCGGAUGAAGGGAGCUUGCUCCUGGAUUCAGCGGCGGACGGGUGAGUAAUGCCUAGGAAUCUGCCUGGUAGUGGGGGAUAACGUCCGGAAACGGGCGCUAAUACCGCAUACGUCCUGAGGGGGAAAGUGGGGGAUCUUCGGACCUCACGCUAUCAGAUGAGCCUAGGUCGGAUUAGCUAGUUGGUGGGGUAAAGGCCUACCAAGGCGACGAUCCGUAACUGGUCUGAGAGGAUGAUCAGUCACACUGGAACUGAGACACGGUCCAGACUCCUACGGGAGGCAGCAGUGGGGAAUAUUGGACAAUGGGCGAAAGCCUGAUCCAGCCAUGCCGCGUGUGUGAAGAAGGUCUUCGGAUGGUAAAGCACUUUAAGUUGGGAGGAAGGGCAGUAAGUUAAUACCUUGCUGUUUUGACGUUACCAACAGAAUAAGCACCGGCUAACUUCGU
rnacentral:rRNA from 1 species